rnacentral:misc_RNA from 1 species
UCCGGUUUGUCACCUGCAGUCUCAUUAGAGUGCCCUUGCGUAGCAACUAAUGAUAAGGGUUGCGCUCGUUGCGGGACUUAACCCAACAUCUCACGACACGAGCUGACGACAGCCAUGCAGCACCUGUGCAGCCGUCCCAAAGGACGCCCCAGGUUUCCCCAGAGCUUCAGCUGCAUGUCAAGCCUAGGUAAGGUUCUUCGCGUUGCGUCGAAUUAAACCACAUGCUCCACCGCUUGUGCGGGCCCCCGUCAAUUCCUUUGAGUUUCAGCCUUGCGGCCGUACUCCCCAGGCGGGGCACUUAAUGCGUUAGCGCCGGCACCCAGGGGGUCGCUCCCCCAGGCACCUAGUGCCCAUCGUUUACGGCGUGGACUAC